rfam:Fungal sp. No.11243 DNA, scaffold: sccafold0013.
GGUCGCUUAGCUCAGUUGGUUAGAGCGUGGUGCUAAUACGGGUUCUCCCUAAGUUACGCCAAGGUCGCGAGUUCGACCCUCGUAGUGACCA